CUGGUUAAUUGCAUCUUGGAUGCCAAAGAAAAUAUUGAUGGAAACUUUGCUGCUUCUCUUCGUAAUGAAAACAUGGAAAGACAUCAUGACAUGACGUUUAUGUUCAAAUGGUCGAGAUUUACAAUGAACAAGUUAGAGACCUACUUACUGAGGACAAAAGAGAUAAUAAAUUAGAGAUUCGGAGCUGCAAUGAUGAUGGAUUGAGUCUUCCUUAUGCUACAUUGUGUCCGGUGACAUCUACAGCUAAUGUUCUGACCCUCAUGAAACUCAGUGAGGCCAACCGUGCUACACUGAUAAUAAAGGUUGUUUAAUUCAGUGUACUCACUGCGCAUGUUCACGAAAAAGAUACCUGGAAUUCAUGGAUCUUGGCCGAAUCGCAGAUCUUAGCUAGGAGGGAAGCCGGUACCAUAUGAAAAGGAGAGAAAUGCUAGAACACCUCCUUCGGCAGCAGCAAGGACUUCGAAACGGUGGUUGUAGGAAGACUUCAGGAGCCAAAUAUCAAUGCUGGGGUGGUUGCUUUGACUCAAAGCAACCCCAACAGCUCCAAGCCUCCAAUUUAACUGUCAAAGCAGAACGGAUCUCAAUGGACCAUGUUGCUCAUCGUAAGCCGUCGGAUGGUGGUUUACUGGUUUUGCAGCCACACAAUUGGCUGCUCACCUUACUGAUAUACACAGUGCCAUCAAAAUGCUUCAUAGCAGAAUUAAGGUGAUGCAUCACUAUUUGCUUGCAAUGCAAAAAGGUAGCAUACGCCGUUGUAUGGCUACCAAUCCGGCGAGGAAAAUGUAGCAUUAUUAGCAACAGAUUUGCUCAGUACUUCAGGUCAGAGUUUGAAUCUUUCACGAGACAUUCUUCUUCAGGGCCUUUGACUAGUGGAAGGAGAAUAAAUUUCUGGCAAAAGUUGAGAAGCAUGUCCAGAGGAAGCACCAGUGAGCAUGGAUUUUCAACUAAACUAUGGCAUGGAUCCCAUUAAAACUUUUUCAAUCUUGACUACAUUAUUUUGAGUACAGAUUCUGAUGAGAGUGGACAUGUAUUUAUUACUUUGUUGAAAACAAAUGGCAAUUUUUGCCAGAAAGAUUUGCAUAUUUUUUAAGCACAUUUAAUGUGUGCUUUGAGA